CCCUUAGAUGUCCUGGGCCGCACGCGCGUUACACUGAUGCAUUCAACGAGCUUAUAACCUUGGCCGAGAGGCCUGGGCAAUCUUGUUAACGUGCAUCGUGAUAGGGAUAGAUUAUUGAAAUUAUUAAUCUUGAACGAGGAAUUCCUAGUAAACGCAAAUCAUCAAUCUGCAUUGAUUACGUCCCUGCCCUUUGUACACACCGCCCGUCGCACCUACCGAUUGGAUGGUCCGGUGAAGCCUCGGGAUUGUGGUUCUUGCCGCUUUAUUGUGGCGUGACCGCGAGAACUUGUCUAAACCUUAUCAUCUAGAGGAAGGUGAAGUCGUAACA
rnacentral:rRNA from 1 species